AAGCGCUUGAAGUCAGACAUGCUGCUGAGACUCAGCCUUGGUUUUCCUUGGUGUAUUUCUCAGUUGGCAGGCCAGCAUCAGUUUUGGCUGUUGGAUAAGGGUAGGAGGAAUGUGGCAUCCUCGGAUGUGUUAUAGCCUCUUACUGGAUACAACGGCUGGGACUGAGGAACGCAGUGUGCCUUCGGGCGGGUCUUCGGACACCUUCACACUUAGGAUGCUGGCGUAAUGGCUUUAAGCGA
rnacentral:rRNA from 1 species